rnacentral:rRNA from 1 species
GACGAACGCUGGCGGCGCGCCUAACACAUGCAAGUCGAACGAGCGAGAGAGAGCUUGCUUUCUCGAGCGAGUGGCGAACGGGUGAGUAACGCGUGAGGAACCUGCCUCAAAGAGGGGGACAACAGUUGGAAACGACUGCUAAUACCGCAUAAGCCCACAGGUCGGCAUCGACCAGAGGGAAAAGGAGCAAUCCGCUUUGAGAUGGCCUCGCGUCCGAUUAGCUAGUUGGUGAGGUAAUGGCCCACCAAGGCAACGAUCGGUAGCCGGACUGAGAGGUUGAACGGCCACAUUGGGACUGAGACACGGCCCAGACUCCUACGGGAGGCAGCAGUGGGGAAUAUUGCACAAUGGGGGAAACCCUGAUGCAGCGACGCCGCGUGGAGGAAGAAGGUCUUCGGAUUGUAAACUCCUGUUGUUGGGGAAGAUAAUGACGGUACC